CGCACAUGUCUGAUGGAGGAGUCGCCCUCAGAAAGUAGAUGACCCGCUCCAGCUGAUGAGAGGGGCAGAGAGGACCCAGCUGAGAAGUGGAGGGAAUCUCUGAACAGCGCUUGAGGAACGAACAUAUGAUAAGUUCUCAGCCUCUGCUAGUCAGGAGAAUGCAAAUUAAAGCCAACACAAGAUACUAGAGGCCCCCAGACUAGCACAGCGUCAGGAGGGUGCGGCACUGUGGGCUCUGGGCCAGGGCGACCCUGCCUCUUCCUCAGUCUGGAGGAACCUGCCCUGACCCAGGAGGACCACAUCGGGCUCGCUGCGGAGCCUGUAUCCCAGCGGAAAGGAGACGUGGUCACAUGACAGACCGGGAGGAGCGCACGCUGCGAGCGUGCCCAGGGCUUGCUGUCUACGUGAAGCUCAACGCAUUAAUCGAUCAGCUGCCUGCGCCGUCAGGUCUGUUCCUGGAAAAAGGAAAAACUGUCCCGAGUCCUGCGGCCCGUCCUCCUGGCAGCGCACCCCUUCCUGCACCAGCAGUCUCUCCCGAGUGACCCACUCCCUGCAGCUUGCAAACCCCAAGACGCCAGCCUCUACAGCACCAGAGCCCCGCAUGCCGCCCCUCCCCAGCCACGGCUGCACGUCUCUGCGCCCCUCGGCACUCACGGAGCGGCAGUGCAGUCUUCCCUGGAGGUGCGCGCACCCACAAGGCACCUUCCUUGUGGUUCCUGGGGGCUGUUUCUUCCUCCAACGUGGCUCCUGCCCUGCCCAGCGCACCUGCAGUAUGUUGGCUCUGAACACGGCCUGACUUCCGUCGAGACCACUUCUGUCCUCGGCAGUCCACACAAGCAACUUGCCUUUUGAUUUCUCUCCCGACAGGGCACCUGG
rnacentral:lncRNA from 1 species